CAGCACUGUUUUACCUGGCAUUUAUUGCUUCUCUGAAGUUAUCAAGGAGCUAGCAUGGAAGAGCUGAUGAUACAAAACAGCACACCAUGAUGCAAAGAAUUGUCAGAUACAGACAUCCAAAGAAAACAGAACACGUUAGCUGUGUAAACAGGAGACACCACUGUUACAGAAGUGGUCAUCUCUGAACAGGCCUCCUGUGUGUCUCGGCUUCUCUCUCAACUCGCUACCCUAAGAUGCAACUCUUGUUGCUCACAGGCACGUAUAUAUCUGGAGGUUAGAUUCAUGCCUUAAAGAAAUAGUAACUGAAAACUAGAGAUUUGCCAUUUGUCACUGCAUUCAAAAUACUUGAAACAAAAAGCAUCAUCCAUACCUUC